GAGGGACACGGUGGCCAAGUGGCAGCGGGACACCGGCCUGCAGAGGGCGCUCCGGAGGCUAGACGAGCUAAUUCCCAGAGACAACCAGCAGGAAGCGCCGCAGGGAUGAGUCCCGCAUUGCUACUCAUGGUUAAGAAAGCAUGAUGUCUGAGCAGCUCUUCUAAUCUGUGGAGGCUGGAUGUGCGGUAGGACCAGGAGCCAGUCAACUGGUGUAGAUUUAAGCGUCCCCAACACUAUGCACAUAGCAUUAUUGAGUUGAGUGUCAAAGAGUUUAGUGUGACUGCUAUGAAACCACGCUGGUGCACAAAAUUUAGCUGCAGAAUAUACCAAGGCAAUUGUUGCGGUUUGUAAGGUCUGUGGACUGGAGCCCAUGAUGUUCCGGACAAUUUUCUGAUAAGCACAACACGAGACCUGACCUUAUUGCAGGUGUUCUUGAGGUGUUUUCGAAAGGUCAAACUCCAGUCCAGUGUAAUGCCAAGAUACUUUGGAUUAGCUUCAUGGCUGAUGCUCUCACCGCAGAACUGCACAUCAAGUUUGGUAUUAGCCAUUUUAUUGUUCAGAUAGAAAGCAGUUACCGAGGGGUGGGGGGUGGAUUAGGCCUAAGUUUCCAGUAUUGGAAAUAAUCAGCCAUUGUGCUAAGAUCUCAGGUUAGGGUGCUGCUGAUGGUAUGGAGGCUUGUAUGCUGAACAGCUAGGGCAAUAUCAUCCACAUACAUGAAUUUCCUUGACUCCGUCGCUGGUAUAUCCGCGGUGUAUAGAUUUAAAAGUAUUGGGGUCAGGACAGAGCCCCGAGGGAUGCCUGAGUUAAGAGUUCUUGGUCUACUGAUCUGACCAUUAAGGUGUACCUUAAAGCAGUGGUCCCCAGUCAUAGCCGUCAAGAGGUGGAUCAUUUGCCGGCAGUGAAUGAUGUGGAAGACCUUGAGGAGGAGGCCCUGUCUCCAGACAGUGUCCUAUGCUGAGGACAGAUCAAACAGGGCAGUUCCUGUCUUCAACUUAUGUUGGAAUCCUGCCUCAGCAUGGCUGAUAAUGGAGCUACUUGGUCACAGCAGUUCCUCUUCAGGCGAAAUCCUGCCUGCUCACCUGGGAGGAUGUCUUCAAUAAUAUCAGACAGACAGUGGAGCAGCACCUGUUCCAUGAGCUUGCUGGUGGUUGAGAGGAGAGAGAUGGGGCCGUAGCUGGCUGCGUCCUCUGGGGGUUUUCCAGGCUUCAAUAGGGCAACCACUGUUGGCUAAGCUUCAGCAAUAGGAAAUUUACAUUUAUCGCCAGUUUCAUCUAGCCUGUUGCAUCACUGGUAGCUGAAAUGAAAUAAAAAGAAACUAUGAAAACUCUGCCACAGGCUUCAUUUGAGCCCUAAUAUAUUGCAAGAAAUCCCUGCAGGAUGUUUGUCUGCUUUGACCUAAUGGGGUUAAAGGAGCUUACAUGCCCAUUAAGAUAAAAACUCAAGUGAUGCAAAUGUCCACCUGAAUCUGAAAUAAAUUAUUUAUUUUAAAGUUGCAAGGAACAUUAGUCAAAUAGGUUCUCCAGAAAGCACCAAAAAUCUCCUUUAAGGGAAGUAGCUUCAUUUAGCAGACAAGGCAUGAGACUAUGAGUUGGGAUAUUUGGGUUCUAGUCCCAGCUCUCUGACCCCAGUUAGCUAUGUGAAUUUGGACUGAAAAUACCAAACAGUGUAUUGCAAUGAGCAUCCUACGGAGUCAGUUAUACUGAAUGUCCACUUCUAGGGCCUGAUCCUGCAGGGUGUCAAAGGGAGCUGCUUGGGAUCUUAUAGGGCUGGGUUUAUGGUGAAGAUAUUCACUGGGGUGGGGGGAGGACAAAUGUGGGUGAAAUUCAGAGAGGGACAGCAAAAGGCCAAUGCAGCAUUUAAAUUGUAUUUAAGCUUUUAGGUGAGACCUAAGCAGUGCACAGGCCCCCUGGCUCGCUGCACAAAGGUGAAUUUUCCCCUAAGAAGGUUCCACAUAGAGCCUUGCCUACAGCAAUUCCCUAUUUACUGGAUUGUUGACUUCGUGUGGACUCCAGCUGGAUAAAAUACAGUAAAGUAGGAGAGGCUUUAAAACAAGUGAUUCAAAGAAGGCAAAUAGACACAGAUAAAAUAACUGCUGCUCUCUCUGAAAUAGCCACGUACUAACUUGUGUCUCAGUCAGAAAAAUGGGAAGGCGGGGGGUGGGGGGGAAGGGAGGCAAUGCCUAAAGAGGCUCUCCUCUUGCUUUGAGCUAUCUGGGCCAGUGAGCCUGAAAACAACUCAUGCCUGACACUCUGUCAGCAUUUCUGCUCUUCUCCCGAUAGCCAGAUAAAUCUGCAACCUUGUUUGCUACUGUAAAAAAAUUUACUAUUUCAUGUCACCCCCCCCAUUGCACAAUUCUGCACACAAGUGAGAAAUCAAUCAGCGGCACAGACAGAGCAGAGGCUGUGGUGCCAAGACAACGAAACGCUAAGCCAGAGCCUCUGUUUGGCUGCUGCUGCUCUGUUUCCUGCAAAGUGGUUAAUUUGAGGGUGGCAGUGGGGGAGGUACAGUGCUGCAAACCUAAUUUACCCACUGGAAGCCUCGUCAAACGCCUGAUUGGCUGUGAGUCUCUACCAUAUUAGGAGUGUGUGAAGCAAAGAUUAGAAGCCUGGCCCGCACAGCAGGAACUCUCCUGUCAAUCUGAAGACCAGGAUCUAUAUUUAGUAGCAGGCCCAUAGGAAUAGAAUUAAAAUGUGGGAGGGGACUGUUCGAAUGCAGAUUUUGGGUUUUUUUUUUUAAUCUACUAGACACUUGACGAAAGCUUUAAGAAAGAAUUCAGAUCACAUAUUGCACUUUCUUCAGAGAGGAUCUGGUGCAUAAAUUAAUUUUAAUUAUUUUAUUUACUUUUGCAUUAAAACAGGAAAACUGUCUGGCUACUAUGUACGUUGACCACCGUAGUUUAGAUGACUAAUAAUGAUUAUUACACUCCAAAAUAAAAACCCUGUUAAAAGUGUUUGUUUACCCUUCUCCCUCUUGCUUCAAUAGCAUGGAAACUAAUCAGCAAAAGUGCAUUUCAUUUAAAUGCAAUUAUGGCAGUAAUUAUGCUGUGCAAAACAGUUUUGUUCCUAAUAGAUAAAGGACUGCUGUGACAGCCCUCUCUGUUGAGUUUAAAGGGGCAUUUGUUAAAAGGAGAAAGAGAUGUCUGUGGUGUUUGAGAGGUUCUGGGGCCUGUUUACACACUCCAGAUAUAGUUGUUUUAAUGUACUGUUACUAAAUGAAGGGGCUUCAGUUGUAAUUAUUGUAUGUACUAAUGUUUUGUAACAGAAAUUAAUUGGCACAAAGUACUGCUAUGAUGAAACAAGCAAAAAAUCUUAAACUAACCACUCAGCUAAGGGCAUAAAUUCCUUUGAUGAAAUAAAUAUAAACUUCAUUUUCCCAUAGAGAUGCACCUGUGUUGCGUGUGUGUAUUUAUCCAGGAAAGCCCAGAUGCCGUAGCUGGGCUGAUUGCAGCUCAAGGAGAUCAAGUCACUGCUGGAAGGUCACACACACUGAGUCAGUGGUUCAGCUGAAAUUAGAAGGAGAGGGGGCACUGAACAACUCUUCACCAGGGGCACCACUGUCCCUAAUGUCUGGCCCGAGCUGUGAUGCAGCUACGUAUGCAAGAUCAGCUGAUUUUUAACACACCAGUCAGAAUGCAUACUUUAAAUUGUGGUACACUAUGCAACUCUUGCUUCACCACCACCAUGUACCUCUGUCAAAUAGAACAAGAGCAGCUGCAUCAUAAAUCAUUUGGUACAACAUUAGUAAAGUCUUUGUAUCAGGCCACAGUUACAGAGUAAAUGUUUCCCCCUUUGAAAAUAGAUUUCUUGCCUUGGCUUUGAUGUUCAGUUUGAUAAAUGAUUCGACUUUGCCUUAGGAUUUCUGUGGUAGUGGGAAACAAUUAUUCCACAACAACAUUUAAUUUCAUUGAUAUUAUCUAUUAAUUUAAUUGUAUUUGAGGCUCGUGACAAUCCUGAAUUUGGAGGGGGGAGGGCAGGGGCAGCUCUAUGGUUUUUGCCGCCCCAAGCACAGCAGUCAGGCGGGCUUUCGGCGGCACGCCUGCGGGCUGGCCACACGGAUUCGGUGGCAUGCCUGCAGGAGGUCCGCCGGUGCUGCGCCUUCAGCAUCCCCACCGCCGAAUUACUGCCGAAGCCGCGGGACCGGCGGACCUCCCGCAGGCAUGCCGCUGAUGGCAGCCUGACGGCCGCCCUCACAACAACUGGCAGGCUGCCCCCCGCGGCUUGCCGCCCCAGGCAGGUGCUUGCUGUGCUGGUGCCUGGAGCCACCCCUGCGGGAGGGGAAGAUGCUAAAUUAACCUGUUACACAUCAGGCUCACAAUACCAGCAACUCAUUAACCUUAGGAAACACAUUUCUACCUAAAGUAAUAUUUUUGCUCUUUGCUAUUCUUCAAUAUUAUUUUGAUCAUCUCAAGCGCUACUGGUAAUGGGGAAUGGGGCACCACAAGCAAAUAUACUGGGGAGUGUGCUAAUGCAAAUAAAAACACAUUCCAUGCUGGCAUGCUUCCUGUGCACAGGAAGGCCCUGUGACCUUGUAGAUAGAUAAAUCAGGGGACAAAGGUACAAGCCAAAAUUUCAAACAAGGCCCCUGAAUCUUAGGGUAUAUUGGGCCAGAUUUUCAGAGGUGUGACCACCUGCAGCUCCCAAUGACUUCAUUUGGAAUGAUGCGUGCUCAGCACUUUGGAAAAUUAGGCACUAGGUAUUUUAAGUUGGGAGCCCAAAGUCACAGGCCACUUUUGAGAAUUUUGGCUUAAAUUGCUUAGAGUCACACAGUAAGUCAGUGGCAGAACAGUAACAGAAGGCAGGUGUCCUGGUCAGCAAUCCAAUGCCCUAUACAUUAUUAUACCAGUCUGCCUACCAGUUUCCUAUCUUCCACAGGCUACCUCCUGAGCUCUUUGCUUAUCUUUUGCUGCUGAGGUGAAUGAUUCUGUGCAGGCAGCAUCUUGCUUUGCGUGUGAAAUGUCCAACGUGCCCUCAGUCAGUUUUUAAUAGUGCUAACGAGAUUAAUGCCCAGAAUUUACUUAUUAAUAUUUAAUGCUGAAUUCUACUAGGGUGACCAGACAGCAAGUGUGAAAAAUCGGGACGGGGGUGGGGGUAACAGGAGCCUAUAUAAGAAAAAGCCCCAAAUAUCGGGACUGUCCCUAUA